rnacentral:rRNA from 1 species
AUACGGAGGGUGCAAGCGUUAUUCGGAAUCACUGGGCGUAAAGGACGCGUAGGCGGGUUGGCAAGUCAGAUGUGAAAUCCUACAGCUUAACUGUAGAACUGCAUUUGAAACUGCUAACCUAGAGUACGGGAGGGGGAGAUGGAAUUAGUGGUGUAGGGGUAAAAUCCGUAGAUAUCACUAGGAAUACCGAAAGCGAAGGCGAUCUCCUGGAACAUAACUGACGCUAAGGCGUGAAAGCGUGGGGAGCAAACAGGAUUAGAUACCCUAGUAGUCC